AUUUAGAUUAUCUAAGAGAGAAUGAGAUUCUCGUGCAGUGGACUCCUUCAUAUGCACUGCAGCAAGGUGGUGUAUCUAAAAGGAGGAAUCGUUAAUAUAAUGCGAUUAAUAACAAGCCAUGUAAAUUUCUCAAAAUUGCUUUGAGGUCACGCAUUGAUUGCAGUGUGCAACACACUAAACCAUGUCCCAUCUAAAUUGGUUAACAGAACUCCAUACGAGUUAUGGAAAGACAACACUCCCAAUUUAUCUUAUAUGAAAGAUUGGGGAGAUGACGCUUAUUUGAAGCGCCUUAAAUCGGAUAAGUUUGAGACUAAAUCCAAUAAAUACAUAUUUGUGAGAUAUUCAAAGGAGACAAUUGAAUAUAAAUUCUAUUAUCAUGAAGAAAGUCUUCGUCUCACGACANCUUAACAUGCUUAGGACUGUUAACCCCUUUAUCGAAGUUGGUAGUGGGCAAACCAUUGAUUCCUUUAAAGAUAUUAAGAGGAAGUCUAAAGGGGCUUUGUGAAAGCACCCAAUAUGGUUAAGACAGUAUAAGCGAAAGGACAAAUACCAAAUCUAAUGACCCUUGGUUUCAUUAUAGAAUGAGAGGUCAUUAGAAGGAAUAUUGUAUGACUUACGUCUACUUCACGAGUUUCUUAGGUAUAUGAUACCAGGUGUAAAUAUCGUAUUUAUACAAAUAUGGAGAAACUAAAAAGAAGUAGACCACUGCGAAAGGGAGAAGUUGACAUACACGUUGGAGAUGAGCAAAGGUUGCUACAUUACCUGUAUGAAUAUACUUCUUGCCAUUGCCUUUUGGUUUAGUAUUGGAAUUAGAGAAAUGUCGUUUAUGCCAACUAUAGCUGGAACAUUAAAAUGAAUUUCAUGUUCAGACAUGAACUAUUUUAAUGUUAAGGACAAUUGUUGUUCUUAUUUAUCUUGUUAAAGAUCCUAAUGGCUAUGGUAAAUUAUAAAAGGACAUUUAUAUUCAUUAAUACUAAAGAUUCUAUAAUAAGUAUAGAAAUUAUAAGGCAUAAAUACUAUAAUCUAAUUAUUACCAAAAUCUGGCAUGACAGACUUUGUCAUUUGGAUGAAAUGUAAUUCCAAAGUUACAUAAAGAUGUAUACUUGGGAUUAAUUGAUUUUGACAAGUAAGAAUUAUGCAUGUCUGGCACAAUAACCAAAUCUUCUUUUGCUUGAAAAGAAGAAAGGUCAGCAUAAUUACUGGUCUAAUGCAUUGUGAUGCAUAUGAAUUCUUGUCAAUCAAUGUCAGGUAAUGUUUCUCUUAUUUCAUCAAUGAUCAAAUAUACUUGAUGAAAACUCAAACAUGAAACUCUUGAAAAGUUCAAGGGAUUCACACUAGAAUUAGAGAAACAAAGAGGUAAAGAUACCUUCACAUUAAGAUUCGAUCAAGUGAGAGUAUCUUAAAGAUAAAAUUUAGAUUAUCUAAGAGAGAAUGUGAUUCUCGUGCAGUGGACUCCUUCAUAUGCACUGCAGCAAGGCGGUGUAUCUAAAAGGAGGAAUCGUUAAUUAUUGCAUAUAAUGCGAUUAAUAACAAGCCAUGCAAAUUUCUCAAAAUUGUUUUGAGGUCACGCAUUGAUUGCAGUGUGCAACACACUAAACCAUGUCCCAUCUAAAUUGGUUAACAGAACUCCAUACGAGUUAUGGAAAGACAAUAGUCCCAAUUUAUCUUAUAUGAAAGAUUGGGGCCAUGACGCUUAUUUGAAGCGCCUUAAAUCGGAUAAGUUUGAG
rnacentral:lncRNA from 1 species